CGCGCGCGGUGCUUGUCCUCGGUGCUGGGGGGGUGGGAGUGAGCUGGCGGUUGGCGCGCGCCGGCCCCGCGGGGAUAAGGAAAACAUCCGCCGGAGGCCGGGCCCGGCCGGGCGGUGCUCCAGGACUCCAGGGCAGGUGCGCGGCUGCUGAGGAAGUGAGCACAUUCCGGCCCCCCGGCCUGCAGGCCGGCCGGCCCUCCGGAUUCUAACCCUAGGAGCUGAAAACUGGAGGCCCUAAUUCCCUGGAAUGCCCUUAUUUGAAGCAGGCUUUUCUGAGUCCUCAAAUAUAUUAGAAUACAUCACCAGGCAGGUUCUCUUGGUGUUCUGUCCCAUCUGACGUGAAGCAAGAAGAUCACAAACAUUUUGAUUUGGUGUAGACCAAGCAGAAUGCGGACAGAUGAAGAAAUGCUUCCAGAGGAGAGGUUAAGUGACUUGUCCAUACAUCGUACAUAGCCAAGAUGAGAUUCUGAUACCAAAUCCAUUGUUUUGUGUGACAUUCAGGAAAUUAGGUAACUUCUGUUCUUGUGGUAGGUUUAUAGACAGGCUUUUGACGAAUGUCCAGAACCCAUCAUCCUUGGCAUUAGAUUGUAUUCUCCUGUGUAGCAGAGACUGUCACUUUUGGGCAGGCACACCACCUGGCACAAAAUCUUGUUUAGCAGUACUUAAUAAAUGCGAUUUGCUUAAACUCUGCCUACAGCUAUGUUUAUCUCAAGCUGUUUCUUUCCCUCUGGGUUGUCUCUUCCUCCUUUUCCCUGUCAUCCAAGAUGAGACAGAUUUGGGUUGUUGUGUUUUGUUUUGUUUUUUCCUUGUUAAUGGAAUACUAACACAACUUUAUAGUUUUGUCUUUGAUUACUGUACACCAGAUUUGUCAUAUAUCUUUCUUACAUCCUCCACAGUUCGGGGUGCCUG